CAACAGGACAGAUUCCCAACGGCCGGCGCGCGCCCGGACUGCUUUCCCUGUCCAAGAAGCCGGGAGGCCUUGGCUCCGCAUUGCGCACGCGCAGCAGCGCCUCCGACGACACCCGGAAAUGCCUGUGCUUUUUGCCUGCCCCCACGGGUGGGCGAGAAAAACUGCUUGCGUUUCUCCACGACCCCAAGUCGGCGAGUCCGAGAUGAACUCAACACAAGUCCCUGGGUGGAAGGAUCUUAGGAAGUUUGCAUUCCGCCAAAUUAAAACUAAAAGUUAACUGCCGAAACCCGGGAUCGAACCAGGGACCUUUAGAUCUUCAGUCUAACGCUCUCCCAACUGAGCUAUUUCGGCGCUGUGCCUGCCCACUUCUAGAGUAUCCUAUCGCUGAGUACUUCGGGCCCAGUCCUUCCGUGUUUCUUCAAUAACUAAUUUCUAUUCCGCGUUUUUGCUUGCUGUGUUUGAAUCGUGAUUCUUCCGUCUCGCUUUUCCCGACCAAAAAUGCAAAGAUCCUGCCUGGUCCCUUCCCGAGACCUGCUAGGCGCGCGCAGCGGGAGCGCAGGGACAAGCGAGGAUUCGGGUUCCCGCCAAUCAGGUUUGGGGGUCUCCUAGGUGAACAGGUCACACUUUUGGACGGUACAGGUAUGUCCCAGAUCUGGUUGACUGGCAGCGUUUGCCGAGAGCUGUUGGUUGACUGGGUGGCCAGCCCCAGAUGCGGCAUCUGUAGAGUCCCUGAGACCUGUGCCCUGAAAAGGCCACACACAGCUUGGUUACAAGCUCUUUGAGGGAACCUGUUCUGCAAACGCUUGGGCAGUUCAUGAAUGAUAAUUCAAUGUCAGCGCCCCCUCCUUUCACGCCGGUUCUGAAGCACCCACUACCUGCUCCCUGCAUCUAACUGAGAUUGUUUCCUUUCUAUCUCCGAUUAAAUAGUACUAAUCUCAAGGCAGUUUACUUUCUCAUGACGCUCUUUUAGCCUACUUACGACACUUCUCUUUACCCAGAAGCGUCGCUCUCAAUUUGGGUUGAUGGAUGGAUAUGGAAGAGAAAAGAAAAGAAAAAGGAGUGCUUAGCAACCUUCACUGGGUCCCCCUCAUUCAGUCUGCAUUCUACAAACGAGUCUCUGAGCGCCCAGGCUGUAGGAACCAAUCACAGAGUUAACCAAAUCCAAAUAACAAAAGAGCUCGAAAAUUAAAGAGGUCGGUGGAUAAGGAGAGAGAGAGACCAAAAAGAUGCUUAGAUUGGAAGGAGGAGAUAGGAAAAGACAUUUAAUGUGUUUUCCAGCUACCUAUCGAAUUCUCCUCAAAACACUGCAGCAAAGACUUGAUGAUUUUCGUUAACUUUUUAGGCAACCAGCUAUUGUUCUUGUCUGUGGCUGCCUGCCUGCCUGCCUGGUCUGUAGAGUGCUGCGAAUCAAUCUCAGGCUCUUCCGGUCUUUCCACCUCAGUCUUUCCACCUCUUCCUCGAGACUUCCAGAGGCGAGAAGUCUGAAUGAGAAAUGUCCCCUAUAGUCUUGACCAUUUGAACACCAGCUUGGGGGGGGGGGGGGAUUAGAACGUGCAGCCUUUUGGAGGACGUAUGUCUGUCACUCGGGGUCCUUAGAAAGUCACCUGUGCACUUUAGGUCCUCAGCUUCCCUGGCUAAAAAUUUACAUUCCAGAUCGUCUCAUGGACUGGACAUUCAGAGUCUCGUCUCAUGGACUGGACUCUGCUCUCUUCAACUUAAGGCCCUGUGAACAAAGUAAGCCAUCACCAAGAUAGAUUGCUGCUGAGUUCGAGAGAAAACUUGGCUUCAUCGGCAAGACUGCAGAAGGGAGAUGAACCAUCAUAGCAACCAUGGAGGGCCGGGUUGAGUUGAGACUCAGACUAAGUAUAAGGAUAUGGAAGGAGAUUCUAGCCUGAAAAGAAACUUUUUGUAGGCUACACUUCUGUCUUCCCAGUUAGCCCAAGGAUUUUUGCUAACCCCAUCUAACUGCUUAUGAUAACUAUGAAAACUAGCCAGCAGACAGAAGACAAAUUUAAAAAAACAAAAAAGCAAACAAAUCUAAAGGAAGCUUGUUGUAUAUGUCUGAAAUUUUUUUAAACUGUUGUCAAUUGAUUAUCUGUUCUUAACAUUGUUCCUGGGACCCCUAUAGCACAGACAAAACCCCAAUAACAUUUUACUUUCCUCUCAUUUUAGUAUUUGUCAUAGGGAAGUUUAAGAAAAAUUGAUGGGAAUAUUACAAUACCUAAAAGCAUACUGACAGGCAGUGAAGACUCAUCUCAGAGCUGAAUGAAUUCAGUGUCACAGUAAAGAUUCAUUCAGUGAAGAACUAACGGUAGCCGGGAAUGUAGCUCAGCUGUUAAGAGUGCUUGCCUACCACGCAUCAAUUCCUGUUUCUGGUCCUCCGUCUUACUGAGGCCAUGUGUGGAGUUAUACGCUUGUAAUCCCCACAUUCAGGCCUUAGAGGUAAGAGGGUCGGAAGUUCAAGGUUAUCAUCAGCUAAAUUUCAAGCUCAAGGCCAGCAUGGAACAGGAGAGACUCUGCUUCAGAAAAUGAAAGAAGGAAGAAAAAGAUGAUGACAGAAAUGGGGGAAGUGACUGAGGUGGCCAGUCGAGGUUGGAUAAUGUUAUCCGAGGCCAAUACAAGGCUUUAAAGGUUCCCUCUACACUGUGCUUAAUAGUUACAAGGGGAAAAAGUAAAAGCUAUGCCAUGAAGAAACCAGACAAUGCCUUGACUGGUUCAUCAAAGAAAGCAACACCUUCACCUGACGAAGGCAAAAUGACUUCUCCAAAGUCCUGUGUUAAAGUCGCCACCGAGGGGAGAAACGUGAAAAAGUUAAUAGAUUGCAAAUAUCAUCGGUGUGUCGAAUCGAUCCAAAGAAGUUAAUUUAUUUAAAGCCAUUAAACUGCGGGUCGAUGAAGGCCUUAUUGUUUUUUUUUUUUUGUUUUGUUUUGUUUUUGUUCAAUCACAUACAUCAAUACAAAGCCUGUGGGUACACUCACUGGGCCAGAAACAAUUAAGAAAAUGAUACUCAAGAACAACAUACCAAGAUGUUCGUAUGUUCUAACCCACUCCUCCCACACCCACUCAACAAGAGUCUAACUCGCCUUUGUGGAUUUUGCACGAUGCCCUAGAGGUCAGAAAACUUGGAUUCUGGAACCUGAAUGUUAUAAGCUUGGGCCCUCUUCAGUCCUUCUUAUCUUAAUUGCUUGUGGCUUACAAUUAAUGGCGCAGUGGACCAGCCUUCCAGGUGUUUUCUUCUCCCCAUCUGUGUGCCUCUGCCUCCUACUCUCCAGAGGUGCUUCAAGGAGCUGCGAUUCCAGACUAUAUCAUCAGGCUUAGAUGGAUGCAGCAUUUAUUGGAGAUCCUCAUGAUCUGACUGGAGAGCAUGACAGAAGCUGGGGUCAUCUGGCAUGAGGGAAUUUUCGUUGAAGAAUGACCUCCAUCAGACCAGCCUGUUGGUGUGUCUGUAAAGCAUUGUCUUGAUUAAUGACUGAUAGGGGAGGACCCAGCUCACAGUCGGGGGUGCCAUCAUGGAGCAGAUGGUCCUGGGGUAAGAAAGCCAUGGAGAGCAACUCAACAAACAGGAUUGUCCCGAGGAUUCUGCCUCAUUUCCUGCGUAGGCUUCCCCUCAUGAAGGACUACAGCCUGUAAGCUGGACUUUAAACCCUUCCUUGCUAAGUUUCUUUUGGUAGUGGCCUUGACCUCAGCCAUGCAGAGCAAACUAAGACAUGCACAAAUAAAGUUGUCAAACAUGAAAUAAUAAAUGCAUACUGACAUUUGACCCUGUCGGUAUAUGAUACUGACAAACUUUAAGGAACCAUAGGGAAGCUGUAGCAAGACCUUGCUAUCACAUGUGGGUCAGUGCAAGCCCAGACUGAAUACUGAGUCCCAGUGACACAUGUUUACCAACAGAAGUGGGACUAGAAUUUGGUUUCAGGUCCCCAGUCAGAGCUGUCACAACUGCAUCAUGCU